GCGCCGGUCGGAUAGUGGCUAUUCCAGCGGACUGUAAAUCCGCGGCCCUUCGGGCAUCGGGGGUUCGAGUCCCUCCCGGCGCACCA
rnacentral:tRNA from 2 species